UGAAAGUUUCUGGUCCGGUUUUCAGUUGA
rnacentral:piRNA from 1 species